AAUCUUCCACAGACCCACGAAAACCGAGAGCACCUGGUGAUGAUGGAGAAGAUCCUAGGGCCCAUCCCAUCACACAUGAUCCACCGUACCCGGAAGCAGAAAUAUUUCUACAAAGGGGGCCUAGUUUGGGAUGAGAACAGCUCUGACGGCCGGUAUGUGAAGGAGAACUGCAAACCUCUGAAGGUCAGUUUCUGGCUACCCCCAGCUCAACUCAUGCCAAGGAGAGACCCCAGGCACUGGGCAGACAUACAGCAGAGACAGGCCAGGCCGCUAAAGGCUGCCUCCUCGAUCCAGCUCUAUGGGAGGCGGCACCCAAGACUGCUGGGUGCUGGCAGUGGGGCUUCUUGCAAACUGCCCCAGAGGGGCCCUUAGCCCUACCCCUUCCCCAUAGGGUGGCUAUGAAUGUAAUUGGGGAACACCAGAAGAGCCAGUUGUCAGAAACCCUGCUGCUUCUUGUCCCUCUCUCUCCUCGAAAUUUUGGGAAGAACUAGGCAGGACUGAGGUGAGGGGGAGGGAAGACCUAGACAUGGCCAGGAAGCCUCUGUCAACUGCAUUUGGUGCUCGGACAAGUGAAUUUCGCAGAGGUGAUCUCUACCCACCUGUCAGGACUUUGCAUGUGGGGGCAGAGGCAUCAACCCAGCAAGACACCUAGUAGCCUGGCAAGUUCCGAGCAAAACGUUAAACAGGCAUGAAAGGAAAGGAGCUGCUCAUUGUCCAGGAGGGCGGAAGUAGAGUCCUCCAAGGAGGCAUCACUGCCUCCUCGAUCCAGUCCAGCAAGGCGUCCCAGAGGCAAGGGAACCUGCUGUGGCUUC
rnacentral:sRNA from 1 species